rnacentral:lncRNA from 1 species
GGAUGCAGUUUGUGUCAACAUGGCCACAAUCUCGGCAGCUGGGCAUCCAGGGUCUGGGGCUGGACAGCGGGAGCUGGAGCUGGGCGCAGGCUCUGCCCCAGGAGACCGGCGCUGCGCGGGGAAAUGGUCGAGGGAAUGCCGCCCCAUGCAGGAGACCUUUAUUUUGAAAGUGUGUAGUCUAGCCCUUACUCAGUCUCUUUAUGGAAACCUAUGACCAUUACUGGAUGUGGACCAUAUUUGGAGCUACUCCUUUAAGGAAAGUAAAGGAAGCAUUUAUUACUGGCUUGGUGAACAACAUAGGCAGCAUGCUGACCCAGUUCUACGGAUUCACCCUAUUAAGGAAGAAAUGGAGAUUCCUGAUUUGAGAGAUUGCUUGGUCAAAAUUCGGCAAGACUACAAUUUGCAUAUGCUGCUAAGCCCUUCGGCAUUGUGUUCUUUUCACUGACAGAAUGUGUUCCACAAGAAGUAUCUGCCUGUGGCCAGCAUGCUCACAGCAACACUGGAUCCCCGACACACUGAGUGAGGCCAGAGGUCAAACCUGCAUCCUCGUGGAUACUAGUUGGAUUCUUUUCCGCUGCGCCACAACAGGAAUCUCCUAGAAGAAUGUCACUUUCCAUCUCCUUAGAGAGACAUAUCUGUGCAUUCUGGCUUCUUCAAGAUUGUUGCCAUCAUGUUCUGUGUGCAAAGAGGAUUUAUAGAUGGUACAAAUGUGGUGAAAGGUAUUCACAGCUAAUAAAAUCAAGAAAAAAUAUUGCCUCAUAAUAUUUAAGAUGUCUGCCAAGUUGAAUAGAGGUGAAAAGCAAAAUUCUGCCAAAAGGGCGUCACUGGAGGCAAGAACUGUAUUCUCUAACAGAAUACACAGAAUUGAUGGUACCUCACUUCCAGGGCUAAAUCAUAAAAGACAUUGACUUGGAGGUCUCACUGUGGCACAAUGGGAUCAGUGGCAUCUCUGAAGCGUGAAGAUGCAGGUUCGAUCCCAGUCUACUACAGUUGGUUAAGGCCUCACCACAGCUGUGGUGCAGGUUGCAAUUGCAGCUCAGAUCUGAUCCCCGGCAAGGGAACUCCAUGUACUGCAGGGCAGCCAAAACAAACAAACAAACAAAAAAACACAAGACACUGGCUUGCAAUCAUUUGCCCUGGGGAAGCCAGAUUGUGGAUGAAGAGGCAUGCUUGUUAAGAAACAUGGACUUGGAGAACAGACUUGUGAUUGCCUUGGGGAGGAGGAGGGAGUGGGAUGGAUUAGGAGCUUGGGGUUAAUGGAUGCAAGCUAUUGCCUUUGGAAUGGAGUAGCAAUGAGAUCCUGCUGUGUAGCACUGAGAACUAUGUCUAAUCACUUAUGACAGAGCAUGAUAAUGGAAGAAAAAAGAAUGUAUACAUGUAUGUGUAACUGGGUCAUUAUGCUGUAUAGUAGAAAAAAAUUGAAUUGGGAAAAUAACAAUAGUAAUAAAAAGAAACCAAAGCCUCAUGUGAAGAAGCCUGGAAGGGACUCUCUAGCAGCAGUCAGAUCUUCAGAGUCUGCAGCCCCAGACAACAAUUUAACUGCAAACUCUUGAAAGACCAUGAGCUGGAGAGCCAACCACCUGAGCCACUCCUGGAUUCCUGAUCCUCAGAAACUGUGUUGGAUAAUAAAGGUUGGUUGUUUUAAUUUGCUAAA